AAGUUAUUUCAGUUCAUAUUUAACAUACACAACCUUUCUCAGGUCUUAUAUGAGCUUACAUAUACUCUAGAAUUAACCCGAAAUCAAAUAAGGAUCAAAUUGUAACAUUUACAAAAUUUCAGGUCAACAUUGUGACAUGAGGGAUUUCCUCAUCGCAAUGUGACAUACUGAAUUGGGCCUCAUUGUGACAACGGGGUUCCUCAUCACACCAUGGCCCAAAACCCAGAGCUUAUCACGACGACUAUUGUUUAACGUCAUGACGUGGACUCUGUUUUUGGCACAAAUAAACCUUUUGGUACAUAUUUCAAGCCAAUUCAACCAUUUGCACCUUUGGUACAUUUUUCCACCUCUAACCUGCAUAAAACAGAUUCCAAACAAUGCAUUGUAACCAAUUCAAUUCAACCAAUCCAAUAUGC
rnacentral:lncRNA from 1 species